AGCCUCCCAAAGUGCUAGGAUUACAGGCAUGAGCCACCACGCCCGGCAUCUCUGACUCUCUUCUUUGUUACUCCAUGUACAUCACCAAACGGUCACUGAAGAUAAUUACAGAAUUAGGGGAUGUGGGAUACGGGAUAUAAAGGUAGAAACAGGAGGACUGAUUUAAAUGUGAUUGAAUCCAAAGAACUGGGAAUCAGAGGAAAACCCUGCAGCCAGGUCAAUCCCGUUCCAAAAAGCUGUUUAAAGAAAAUGUAGUAGAGCCAGUCUGGUGGUUAAAGUUGUCUCUGGCCACUGCAGCUGACAGACCCCGACCCACCCACCGUGCCUGUUGACAGCCAUGCAGCCCUGACUGGCACCAUCAUCCCCAGCCCGAGGGAGCAGCAGAGGCAGCUAGAUGCCCAUUCCUGCCAGCCAGUCCUUAUGUGACUGCCAGCCCAUCAGCCACAGUCGGAGGCUGCCUUCCCCAUGGAGCAGGGGCCAUUCCUCUCUCUCAGCCUCACUCGGAGCCUAGGCUUGUGCUGGGUUGCCUGCUUCCCGCUUGGAGGUCAACUUCCACCCAGGGCUUCACCUUUGGCCUCCAAGACUUUUCUUUUUUUCCUUUAACUCAGCACUCAGGCCAGGUGAGGGUGGCUCUUGCAUGUCAUCCCAGCACUUUGGGAGGCUGAGGCUGGUGGAUUGCUUGAG